UGAAAGAAUACUUCCAAAUUUUUGAAGUGAUCCCCGCUUUGGGUAUUGUUGUCUACUGGCUGUGCAACUUCGUAAUUUUCCCACGCUGCGGAAUGUUUCUACACGGAAGACGCAUAAUUAUUGGAUUCGGCUUAUUUCUGGAAAAUGUACAAGUAAGCGCUCAGCAUGGGAUCUCCAACUAACGUCUCCUGUGCCUUGAUGUGCCACAUCAGCUGAUCGGAAACUCGCGAAAGUCCCGCCAGCCCAUCAUUAUGAGCAGCUCGAUGCCCGACGAUGUGAUUGGAAUCGGAGGACUCGCCUCUCCCCUACAGCCAUCGACGGCUUCAGCGAUCACCAAAGAUCAUCUGCUGGUGGCAAUGCUUCAGACGAGUUGCAAAAGCGAGAUCUCAUCGAAGGCGAACUCACGGAACAAUCUGCCGAAAACAGUUUCACUUAAGGAAGCCAUGUGUUGUCGUUGACAAUAUUGUGGUGAAUGUAGCCAUACAUAAUGGCCCGCGCCAGCAUAAAGUAGAUGUCUAACAGGAGACAGCCGCUGUAACAGGAUACUGUAGGCCAGAUAAAUCCAAACCAUCUUCUUCACACGGAUUAGCCUGCUAUUGCCAGGAACAUGCCGGAUGGUCCCCAUAAGGCCAUAGACGCUCAGCUCGUAUCGAUAUAAGGAAGAUGUCGCGAUCUAUCGCGAUCGAUACUUCACCCACGAUCGCGUGCAUCGCGCCAGUGGGUAGUACACCGACAUCAUCUUCCCUGCAGCAACAUGCUUUGCCUCAUCGGCUUUGAACGGCCAUAGCUAUGAUGCCGCUGCUGUGCCGCUGAGUCGACAAUGUGGCGUCCCGUCCGCUACAGGGACAUAAUUUCAGCAACCAAACCAAACAAAUCAAACGCUGGGUAUCAGCUUCGAUACGCAGGACUUAUAUAUCCUACGGCGUAUUCGAGACAGGCCGAGUCCCAGCCAGGCAGAAUCGUCUCCCAUCAGGACAGAAUCGCAUCCCCUGCAAGAGCUCGAACCUAACAAGCCGUCAUCAUCUUUCGACCUGGCC
rnacentral:sRNA from 1 species